UACGGAGGGUGCAAGCGUUAUCCGGAGUUACUGGGCGUAAAGGGCGUGUAGGCGGCUUUUCAAGUUCGUCGUGAAAGACCCCGGCUAAACCGGGGGGAGGUCGAGGGAGACUGAGAAGCUAGAGGGCGGUAGAGGGACAGGGAAUUCCGGGUGUAGUGGUGAAAUGCGUAGAGAUCCGGAGGAACACCAGUGGCGAAGGCGCUGUCCUGGGCCGCAACUGACGCUGAAACGCGAAAGCAUGGGGAGCGAACGGG
rnacentral:rRNA from 1 species